AUUGAACGCUGGCGGCAGGCCUAACACAUGCAAGUCGAACGAGUGGCGGACGGGUGAGUAAUGUCUGGGAAACUGCCUGAUGGAGGGGGAUAACUACUGGAAACGGUAGCUAAUACCGCAUACCAUCGGAUGUGCCCAGAUGGGAUUAGCUAGUAGGUGGGGUAAAGGCUAACCUAGGCGACGAUCCCUAGCUGGUCUGAGAGGAUGACCGGCCACACUGGAACUGAGACACGGCCCAGACUCCUACGGGAGGAAGCGGUGGGGAAUAUUGCAAAAGGGGCGAAAGCCUGAUGCAGCCAUGCGGCGUGUAUGAAGAAGGUCUUCGGGUUGUAAAGUACUUUCAGCAGGGAGGCGUUACCUACAGAAGAAGCACCGGCUAACUCCGUGCCAGCCGCCGCGGUAAUAC
rnacentral:rRNA from 1 species